GAGUUUGAUCCUGGCUCAGAACGAACGCUGGCGGCGUGCUUAACACAUGCAAGUCAGGGAGAAAGUCUCUUCGGGGAUGAUUAAACCGGCGCACGGGUGAGUAACACGUGAGUGACCUGCCUUUUAGACUGGAACAACUUACCGAAAGGUGAGCUAAUGCCGGAUGAGUUAUAUAAGUGCAUGUUUAUAUAGGAAAAGUUGGGGAGACCUGACGCUGAAAGAUGGACUCGCGUCCCAUUAGCUAGUUGGUAGGGUAAUGGCCUACCAAGGCGACGAUGGGUAGCCGGCCUGAGAGGGUGGCCGGCCACACUGGGACUGAGACACGGCCCAGACUCCUACGGGAGGCAGCAGUGGGGAAUUUUGCGCAAUGCUCGUAAGAGUGACGCAGCGACGCCGCGUGAAUGACGAAGGCCUUCGGGUCGUAAAGUUCUUUCGACAGGGAAGAAAAUGCCUAUAAGUAACUGUGUAUGUAUUGACGGUACCUGUAUAAGCAGCCCCGGCUAACUCCGUGCCAGCAGCCGCGGUAAUACGGAGGGGGCGAGCGUUGUUCGGAGUGACUGGGCGU
rnacentral:rRNA from 1 species